rnacentral:rRNA from 1 species
CUGGUUGAUCCUGCCAGUAGUCAUAUGCUUGUCUCAAAGACUUAGCCAUGCAUGUAUAAGUUCACACCUUAAAACGGUGAAACCGCGAAUGGCUCAUUAAAUCAGCUAUGGUUCCUUAGAUCUUACAUCCUUACUUGGAUAACUGUGGUAAUUCUAGAGCUAAUACAUGCCAAAGAGCCUUGACUUUUUAAAAGUUGGGGUGGAUUUAUUAGAACAAAACCAACCGGUUUACGCCGUUGAUUUGAUGACUCUGGAUAACUUUUCUGAUCGCACGGCCUUGUGCCAGCGACGUAUCUUUCAAGUGUCUGCCCUAUCAACUGUGAUGGUAGGUGAUAUGCCUACCAUGGUUAUAACGGGUAACGGGGAAUCAGGGUUCGAUUCCGGAGAGGGAGCCUUAGAAAUGGCUACCACAUCUAAGGAAGGCAGCAGGCGCGCAAAUUACCCACUCUCAGCUCGAGGAGGUAGUGACGAAAAAUAACAAUACGGGACUCAUACGAGGCCCCGUAAUUGGAAUGAGUACAAUUUAAAUCGUUUAACGAGUACCAAUUGGAGGGCAAGUCUGGUGCCAGCAGCCGCGGUAACUCCAGCUCCAAUAGCGUAUAUUAAAGUUGCUGCAGUUAAAAAGCUCGUAGUUGGAUCUCAGGCUAGGAGCCGGUGGUACGCCUUGCGGCGUUACUGCUAGUUUCCGCCUCAUCAGUCGUAUGUUAUUUUAUGUGCCCUUAAUCGGGUGCGUAAAAUGCUCGGCACGUUUACUUUGAACAAAUUAGAGUGCUCAAAGCAAGCCUUGUGCUUGAAUACUUAUGCAUGGAAUAAUGAAAUAGGACUUCGUUUCUAUUUUGUUGGUUUUCGGUUACGAAGUAAUGAUUAAAAGAGACAGACGGGGGCAUCUGUAUGGUGGUGUUAGAGGUGAAAUUCGAUGAUCGCCGCCAGACAAACAACUGCGAAAGCAUUUGCCAAGGAUGUUUUCAUUAAUCAAGAACGAAAGUCAGAGGUUCGAAGACGAUCAGAUACCGUCCUAGUUCUGACCAUAAACGAUGCCAACUGACAAUCAGGGUCUACAUUAUCAUUUUACCCUGGCAGUCCCUGGGAAACCUUUAAGUCUACAGGUUCUGGGGGAAGUAUGGUUGCAAGGCUGAAACUUAAAGGAAUUGACGGAAGGGCACCACCAGGAGUGGAGCCUGCGGCUUAAUUUGACUCAACACGGGAAAACUCACCCGGCCCGGACACUGUGAGGAUUGACAGAUUGAUAGCUCUUUCUUGAUUCAGUGGGUGGUGGUGCAUGGCCGUUCUUAGUUGGUGGAGUGAUUUGUCAGGUUAAUUCCGAUAACGAACGAGACUCUAGCCUGCUAAAUAGUUAACACAUGCAUAGCUGUGUUCGUUAACUUCUUAGAGGGAUACGUUGCGUUGAGCGACAUGAAAUUGAGCAAUAACAGGUCUGUGAUGCCCUUAGAUGUUCGGGGCCGCACGCGCGCUACACUGACGAUAUCAAUGAGUAUCAUCCUGGGCCGAGAGGUUCGGGAAAUCUUAUGAAUUAUCGUCAUGUCAGGGAUUGGGGCUUGUAAUUAUUCCCCAUGAACGAGGAAUUCCCAGUAAGCGCAAGUCAUAAGCUUGCGCUGAUUACGUCCCUGCCCUUUGUACACACCGCCCGUCGCUACUACCGAUUGAAUGCUUUGGUGAGGCCUUUGGAUUGAGCCUAUUAGAGUGGUUUCGCUUUAUGUGGUUCGAAAAAAUCGUCAAACUUGGUCAUUUAGAGGAAGUAAAAGUCGUAACAAGGUUUCCGUAGGUGAACCUGCAGAUGGAU